CAGUCAGUCAGUACAUGGGUUUGUAGCUAUAUAUAAUAUAAUAAUAAUAUAAUAACUAGAUGUCGCGUGGUUCGCUCGCAGCAAGCUGCUCGCGUGUUUUGUUUUCCCGCCAUUUUUUUACCGCGAUAGAAUUUGACCAAGACUUGAAUAGGUCUCGUGAAAUCAAAAAAGUUCUAGGUGCUAUAGUUUUGCCAGGUCGUAGGGUGACCCCUGAUGCGGAGCAGUUUUCCAAGAUGACGUUCCGAUCACACCCCUAUACAUCAUUUUUACACCCGAGACAUUUUCUGGAAAAACAAAAAUUUGUAUGGCGGCCAUCUUGUUUUUCGGCCAUUUUGUUUUUUUUCACUGGCGAAAAAAUUUGACCAAGACUUUAAUAGGCUUCGUGAAAACAAAAAAGUUCCAGGUGCGAUAGUUUCGCCAGGCUGUAGGGUGUCUCCCUGAUGCGGAGCAGCUU